UUCACCAGAUGUGUUUUUAUCCUCUUUACAGGUGUUGAUGGUCAGACUCUGACAGAAUCUGAAUCUGUGACUAAAAGGCCUGGAGAAUCUCACAGAUUGACCUGUACGACUUCUGGAUACACAUUCAGUAGCUACUGGGUGGCCUGGAUCAGACAGGCUCCUGGAAAAGGACUGGAGUGGAUCGCUUGGAUCCACCCUACUAGCAGUAGCGACAUAUACUACUCUGAGUCAGUGAAAGGCCGGUUCACCGGCUCCAGCAACAACAUACAGCAGGUGUAUCUGCAGAUGAGCAGUCUGACGGCUGUAGACUCUGCUGUUUAUUACUGUGCUCGAGACACACAGUGA